GUGCCAUCUUUUGCUUCGGUGGAUAUUGUGCCGUCUUUUGCUUCGGUUGAUAUUGAUAUACCAUCUGGUUUGUGUCCUUUCUUUUUCGUUCGUUUGGUUUUUGCUGCUAUUGUGGACUAAAUGUUGUGAUUUGUUGUUGCAAGCAGGUAGUUGUGCCUUUGAUGCUUCUCGCAGGGAGGAGGUCCGUUUGGGCAAGCGUCGUGUUGAUUGUGGCCUUGGUUUGUGUUUUUGGCCCGAUGAAUUUUCAUUUUCCCUGUUGUUUAUCGUUAUUUAACAAUGUGGUUCACUUUGUAUAUACAGAUGUAUCUUUUUGCGGGUCAGAGGUGUCUGGGUCUGAUGUUAUUGGUGUUGCUGCCUCUUUGCCUUCU
rnacentral:lncRNA from 1 species